GGUUCGAUGGCGUAGUUGGUUAUCGCAUCUGUCUAACAUGUUCCCCACUGUCAAAUGGUAGUGUCCCACACAGAAGGUCCCCGGUUCGAGCCCGGGUCGAAUCA